rnacentral:rRNA from 1 species
AUUGAACGCUGGCGGAAUGCUUUACACAUGCAAGUCGAACGGCAGCACGGACUUCGGUCUGGUGGCGAGUGGCGAACGGGUGAGUAAUGUAUCGGAACGUGCCCAGUCGUGGGGGAUAACGUAGUGAAAAUUACGCUAAUACCGCAUACGAUCUAUGGAUGAAAGCGGGGGAUCGCAAGACCUCGCGCGAUUGGAGCGGCCGAUAUCAGAUUAGGUAGUUGGUGGGGUAAAGGCCCACCAAGCCAACGAUCUGUAGCUGGUCUGAGAGGACGACCAGACACACUGGAACUGAGGCACGGUCCAGACUCCUACGGGAGGCAGCAGUGGGGAAUUUUGGACAAUGGGCGAAAGCCUGAUCCAGCCAUUCCGCGUGCAGGAUGAAGGCCCUCGGGUUGUAAACUGCUUUUGUACAGAACGAAAAGGUUUCUACUAAUACUAGGAGCUCAUGACGGUACUGUAAGAAUAAGCACCGGCUAACUACGUGCCAGCCGCCGCGGUAA